CGUCUGGGAGGUCGCUAGUUUGCUGCUCAGCCACCAGGUGGAUCCGGAGCAGACGGACAGCUUACGGACGCUCUCCGCUGAUGGUCGCCGCCGCCGAAGGUCACGUAGGGCCGUCAUGAUCUGCCUGCUCUCUCAAGGCGCCAGCGUCAGCUGCACAGAUAAGGAAGGCCUGACGGCUCUGUGCUGGGCGUGUCUGAAGGGUCAGCUACACGCCGUACAGACACUGCUAGAAGCUGGCUCCUCCAUCGAUCACACGCGACAACACAGGUCGCACGCCGGCUAGACCUGGCCUGCCUUCUUCGGGGAGGCGCUGACCGUGCAGCUGUUGAUAGAUCGCGUGUGCUCAGGUG